GGGGGGGGGGGGGGGGGGGGGGGGGGGGGGGGGGGGGGGGGGGGGGGGGGGGGGGGGGGGGGGGGGGGGGGGGGGGCCGGGCACCUCCACCUCGGCCAGGGCUCCCCGUCCUUCCCCUGCCGGCCGAGAGCGCCCUGACACACAGCGGGCAGCAUGCCUGAGCCUGGCUAAACCUCAUCAGUAGUCCUGUGAGGGCAGGAAAAAAAUGUCACUUUUCAGAUGGGUAAGUGAGAAAUAGAGGUAAAGUUCAUAAUGAUACAUCUGGGAUAGAGAUUCGUGUUUCCUAAAGCCUUUUCUAUUUCUCUUCAUUCUCAUUAUGUUCCCCUUCUCAGCCCAGGACAGGAUGAAAACCCCUUCAUCUUACCAUUCAUAAACCUUGAGGGGAGGACUGACUGCAGCUAAUAAUUAGAUAUCUGUGGUUAGUGGCUGCUUUACCUCAGUAACUUGCAAUCCCUUUUACUUUCCUAACUUUCC
rnacentral:lncRNA from 12 species